GACGAACGCUGGCGGCGUGCUUAACACAUGCAAGUCGAACGGAAAGGCCCUGCUUUUGUGGGGUGCUCGAGUGGCGAACGGGUGAGUAACACGUGAGUAACCUGCCCUUGACUUUGGGAUAACUUCAGGAAACUGGGGCUAAUACCGGAUAGGAGCUCCUGCUGCAUGGUGGGGGUUGGAAAGUUUCGGCGGUUGGGGAUGGACUCGCGGCUUAUCAGCUUGUUGGUUGGGUAGUGGCUUACCAAGGCUUUGACGGGUAGCCGGCCUGAGAGGGGGAGCGGCCAAAUUAGGACUGAGAUGCGGCACAGACUCGUACGGGACGCAGCAGUGGAGAAUAGUGUACAAUGGGAGGAAGGCUGAUGCAGCAACGCCGCGUGCGGGAUGACGGCAUGCGGGUUGUAAACCGCUUUCGCCUGUGACGAGGCGUGAGUGACGGUAACGGGUAAAGAAGCACCGGCUAACUACGUG
rnacentral:rRNA from 1 species